rnacentral:tRNA from 1 species
AAAGGAGAGGGGAAAAGGUCCAUGUCAGACGCUUAAAAUCUGUGCAUUAAUCUGCCACCAAAA